rnacentral:misc_RNA from 1 species
GGAGCCCACGGCCCGCGAAUGUCGGGUCGGGGUGCUCAUUGGCGGAGACACUGGCGAGCUUGAUGUCGGCAACGGCCGGGUUUCUUCUAGUACGGCCACUCUUGGGUGGUGUGGAACGGAGUCCUGGUGCGGCUGGCGCCGAGUGCAAAGCACCCUGUUGGGUCCUGAAAGAACAACCCUGCGGUUGUCUUUCGGAACCAUGACCCCGCCGGUUGGCGGGGGCGGUUGCCAGGCAUGGCCUGGUCUCACAUACCGCCGGCGCGGAAGGUGUCCGGGUUUGGUGUGGGGCUUGUGGGUUGUGGGUUGGU